rnacentral:rRNA from 1 species
UACGGAAGGGGCAAGCGUUGUUCGGAAUCAUUGGGCGUAAAGGGCGCGUAGGCGGUCUUGUGUGUCUGCUGUGAAAGCAUGCGGCUCAACCGCAUAGGGUCGGUAGAAACUGCAAGACUCGAGGCUGGGGAGGGGCUGGUGGAAUUCCCUGUGUAGCGGUGAAAUGCGUAGAUAUAGGGGAGAACUCGUGGCGAAGGCGGCCAGCUAGACCAGUCCUGACUGAGGCGCGCACGUGGGGAGAAACAGG